UUUCUGAUCAAGUUAAUUUGCGAAAAUAUUAGCAACGCAAUGUCUUUUACAUAUUGUCUUUGUUCCAAUGCAAGAUGUUGCAGCUCAAACUAUUUUUAUUGUUUUAUUGGGGUGCCGAGGUCCAAAAAAAAAUGCAUGCAGAAGAUUUGUGUGAAGAACGCAUACAAUACAUAUACCGAAGGCCUUAUUUUUUCUCACCCUUUCCUACCCACACACAAAUUUUUCUCCUCAGCACCCUCUUAAGUAUCUUCACAAAAUUCAGUUCUUUAUGGAAUUUUCCAUUGAAAGUACGCAAAGUACUUUGUCUUCAAUCAAUGAGAUAUGUGAAAAGUAAAUUUAAUCCAUUUAUAGGAAUUUUUAGUGUGUAAAUUGUGAAAAAGCCGAUUGUGAAAAAAUGGAUAAACGUGACAAGGUAAUGUAUAAUUUUUAUAAUUAACAAUACUUUAUAUUACGAACUGAUUUGCAAUAAAUAAAAUUACCAAACUUAAAUUCAACCAACUAAUUAUAUGAUUUUACUACCUUGCAGUUAAUCAGACUACAUACAAUAAAUAGGAGAGAUACGUGGAUCUUAUUCUCAUCGAAGCCAUCCUGUCUGUACUUUGAUAGUCUUCUGAUCCCCAUUAAUAAUUGAAACAGGAUAAAGGAAAUCCAAUAGCGAAAAUUAAAAUUUAAAUAUUUCACGGAACGAGCGCAUAUAGCCCAAGAUCUUGUGCGUUGUAAACCCAUAAUCAAAUUGUGGAAAAUUCGAUUGAAGGAAAAGGAUAAACACGAAAAGUUAAUCAGUCCACAAUAAACAAGAGGAAAAUUGAUCUAAUUCUCAACAAAGCCCUUCUAUCAGUACCUGGAUAAAGUCUGCUGAUCGCAAAUAUUGAUUAAUAUACGAUAGAGGAAAUCAAUUCGCAAGAAAUGAAGUUUAAAGAUUUCAUCAACUGACAUAAGAAGCAGAACUUUCUCGAUUCCAUGAAGAGGGGAACUUUGGAAAAAAAUGAUGCUGAAUGUUGUGGACACUUACAUAAAAUUGCCCAACUCCACCGGACACAUUGGCUUUUUUUUCAACAAAACGGGGUAUAAAAGACAUCCCAUUUUUAAAAAUUGUUUUAUGUAAUUAAAAGUUAUGAUUGAUGUAUCUAGUUUAAAUGACUAUAUUUUUUUUAACAAAAUGUCUUCUAAAUGUAAAUUAAAAUUUAAGUAUACCUGUCUAUGUAAUUAUUAUAAAUAUUGUAUAAAAUGUACUAUCAAUUUAAGUGAAAUAAAAAAAAAGAUUUUUUAUGAAAAUCCAAUUUUUAAAUAUUUUAGUAAAAAAAAACUAGAUUUCCAGUUGGCAUAGCUAAAUUUUAGUAAUCCAAGAAUUUAUAAUUGAUAGUUAUGUCCACUCAAACCUCUGCUGGCAUUCCUAAACUUUAGUAGUAUAUAGACGUAAAACAUUUUAAUAAUCAUAACUAAAUAUUCUGUUGAAAGAACUAAAAUUUUUCGUUUUGAGCAACUACUAAAAUUUUAGUAAAAAUUUCUUUACUAAAAUUCUCUACUAAAGUCCAGUCAGUGCCAGUUUUAGUAAUGAUAACUAAAAUCUGAA